AUGCAGAUGAGAGCUAACCCGCUUCUGAUGUGUCUGGUUGUCUCUUUGUCUCCUCAGAUGGACAUGUGCGUGCUGGUUAACAGACCUGACAGAGCCCCGCUUCUGCGUUGCUAUCAUUGCCAUCAUCUUCAAACCGUUCUUCUGGAAUGUGGUGGCCAGAUGGGAGCACAGGACCAGAGGCCUGACCCGUCUGUUUGGAGGUCCAUAUGUGGCCUGUUAUUCCCUCGCUGUGCUCAUCUUGCUCUUCAAUGUUUACCAAAGCCACAGGUAACAGCAUCCACCGCUGUAUUAUGUAUUGUCAGGGUUCAGUACUCAGAAUCGCCAUUAUUGAUGCUGUAAUUUAUUCAAGCAACCCAUUUGGUCCCAUUUUGCAUAAGACCAAAGAUCCAGUGUUUACCUUUCACCCUUUUAUUGAUUUCAUCAAUAAUAAUAGUGUGACAUCUGUCUGACUAGCGGCACAUUCAGUUGCUUAUUUCAUUUGCUUUAUUCUCAUGAGGAUCUGGCCGUUGCCAUGGCAGCCUUCGUCUCUACGCUGCUGAUGCUGGUGUCAUCGGCGCCGCAU
ensembl:lncRNA